UACGGAGGGAGCUAGCGUUGUUCGGAAUUACUGGGCGUAAAGCGCGCGUAGGCGGCUUUGUAAGUUAGAGGUGAAAGCCCGGGGCUCAACCCCGGAAUUGCCUUUAAGACUGCAUCGCUUGAAUCCGGGAGAGGUGAGUGGAAUUCCGAGUGUAGAGGUGAAAUUCGUAGAUAUUCGCAAGAACACCAGUGGCGAAGGCGGCUCACUGGCCCGGUACUGACGCUGAGGCACGAAAGCGUGGGGAGCAAACAGG
rnacentral:rRNA from 1 species